AACGAACGCUGGCGGCAGGCCUAACACAUGCAAGUCGAGCGCCCCGCAAGGGGAGCGGCGGACGGGUGAGUAACGCGUGGGAACGUGCCCUCUUCUACGGAAUAGCCUCGGGAAACUGGGAGUAAUACCGUAUACGCCCUUAGGGGGAAAGAUUUAUCGGAGGAGGAUCGGCCCGCGUUGGAUUAGGUAGUUGGUGGGGUAAUGGCCUACCAAGCCGACGAUCCAUAGCUGGUUUGAGAGGAUGAUCAGCCACACUGGGACUGAGACACGGCCCAGACUCCUACGGGAGGCAGCAGUGGGGAAUCUUAGACAAUGGGCGCAAGCCUGAUCUAGCCAUGCCGCGUGAGCGAUGAAGGCCUUAGGGUUGUAAAGCUCUUUCAGUGGGGAAGAUAAUGACUGUACCCACAGAAGAAGCCCCGGCUAACUCCGUG
rnacentral:rRNA from 1 species